rnacentral:rRNA from 1 species
UGGGGAAUUUUGGACAAUGGGCGAAAGCCUGAUCCAGCAAUGCCGCGUGUGUGAAGAAGGCCUUCGGGUUGUAAAGCACUUUUGUCCGGAAAGAAAUCCUUGGCUCUAAUACAGUCGGGGGAUGACGGUACCGGAAGAAUAAGCACCGGCUAACUACGUGCCAGCAGCCGCGGUAAUACGUAGGGUGCAAGCGUUAAUCGGAAUUACUGGGCGUAAAGCGUGCGCAGGCGGUUUGCUAAGACCGAUGUGAAAUCCCCGGGCUCAACCUGGGAACUGCAUUGGUGACUGGCAGGCUAGAGUAUGGCAGAGGGGGGUAGAAUUCCACGUGUAGCAGUGAAAUGCGUAGAGAUGUGGAGGAAUACCGAUGGCGAAGGCAGCCCCCUGGGCCAAUACUGACGCUCAUGCACGAAAGCGUGGGGAGCAAACAGGAUUAGAUACCCUGGUAGUCCACGCCCUAAACGAUGUCAACUAGUUGUUGGGGAUUCAUUCCUUAGUAACGUAGCUAACGCGUGAAGUUGACCGCCUGGGGAGUACGGUCGCAAGAUUAAACUCAAUGAAUUGACGGGGUCAUAGCUGUUUCCU